CUGACCAUAAGUAAAACAUAGUUCCUGCCUUUUAAGAGCUCCUAGACAAGUGGAUGAAUUACAUUUAUAACAGAGAUUUAUGGUGUAAUAUAUUAGCUGCUGUCAUAGAGAUAUGCCAGAAGUCUAGGACCCUAAGAUCUAGAAUGUUGAACUUUGCCUGGAAAUGAUACAGUGUGUACUGGGGAUUAGGAAAUACCUUUUGAGAUGUUCAGCUUUAUGUUUGUGUCUUCAAAAUGCUUGAGCUUUUUUUUUUUUUUUUUUUUUUUUUUUUUUUUAUUUUGGGUUUUUUUUACUAUAUUUUUUCUAUUUGUAUUUUUUUUAAUUUNNNNNNNNNNNNNNNNNNNNGGACUCGAUCCUGGGACUCCAGGAUCAUGACCUGAGCCGAAGGCAGUCGUCCAACCAACUGAGCCACCCAGGCGCCCUGCUUGAGCUUUUUGAUGCUGACAAAUACUAUGAUGUCCUCGAUACCUGGAAACACCACCACCACCUCCUUCCUGUUCACCACCACAGCCCCUCUUGUAACCAAAAAUUUGCAAAAGGGGAGUUUGGAGUAUGCUGUGCAGAAGACAACUGAAAUUGAGUUGAGUUUUCAAACAUUCACCACCUUUAUCUCAUAUAAGCAUGUGAGGAAUGAACAGCAAUUGCUUAUCAUUUGGAAGGAAAAGCUACUAUCCAACCUCUUGUCUACUUUGGAGCAUUUGUUAAAGCGUCUCAAAAAAGAUACCAUAUUCUUGGCAGUUCCCUGUUAA
rnacentral:lncRNA from 1 species